CACACGACUCUCGGCAACGGAUAUCUCGGCUCUCGCAUCAAUGAAGAACGUAGCGAAAUGCGAUACCUGGUGUGAAUUGCAGAAUCCCGCGAACCAUCGAGUCUUUGAACGCAAGUUGCGCCCGAGGCCACUCGGCCGAGGGCACGCCUGCCUCGGCGUCACGC
rnacentral:rRNA from 1 species